rnacentral:rRNA from 1 species
UACGUAGGCAGCAAGCGUUGUUCGGAGUUACUGGGCGUAAAGGGUGCGUAGGUGGCUCUAUAAGUAUGGUGUGAAAUCUCCCGGCUUAACUGGGAGGGUGCGCCGUAGACUGUGGGGCUAGAGUGUGGGAGAGGAAAGUGGAAUUCCUGGUGUAGCGGUGAGAUGCGUAGAUAUCAGGAGGAACACCGGUGGUGUAAACGGCUUUCUGGACCAUAACUGACACUGAGGCACGAAAGCGUGGGUAGCAAACAGG